ensembl:lncRNA
AGAGAUUUUUCAGCAACAUGAGUUGCAUAAUUGAAGUUAAUCACCACUGUUCAUCAGCUUGCUGUCUCUGAGGGAAGGGGAAUUUCUACAAGGCAGUCUGAUGACUUCUGGCUGGGAGAGCUCACAGUGAUCAUCAUCUAACUUGGUGGCUACCUGCAGAUCGAGGCCCACAGUAGCCAUGAGCAGAACCAAUCAACUGAUACGGACUUGUGUCAGCGAUGUGCAGGAGGUGCACGUCUCUAUCUGCUACUCACCUUACACAAAGGUUCUGCUAACACCAAAGCAGCACUGAACCUGGCAUGGAGAAGUGAAGGUGAUGGACAGGAGGUGUCUGUGUGUGUGUGUGUACGUAUGUGCGUUUAUUUACACACACGUGUACGGAGUUGACAGCCAUGAACUCAAAACUAUUAAUUUAAUAUCUUUAAACCUAUCUGCAGGGUAAGCAUUAAAUAGGUUGGAAGGCUGCACUUUGUCAUGUCAGAGCUCUGAUAAAACGCAGUCUUUGUUCAGGUGGGAUGUUCUGGAGUGCUGUUCUGGGCACAAAGCCUCUGGUGGUUUGUACAGAAUGUUUUGCUGAGUGUUACUUAUGCAUAAACGCUAAGGUAUGUGUCAAUUAAACAUAAUAUAUAGGAUCAUGCCUAAUUUUCAUAGGUUAAUUUAUGCAUUUGCACCUGUUCUUUACUUCUUGACUAAUAAUGAGUACAUCAAGCGUUAGAAGUGAGGAAACGUUGUGCUGCAGCAUAGAUACACUUCUUUUCCUUUGGAAUACAGUUAUAACAUGGUGGGAAAAAUACAGUUAAAAUAUAGCAGGACAAAUGAAAUGCAGUUUUGAAAAAGGAAAUUCGGGUAUUAUUAACUUGUAAACCAAAAAAAACUAUUACUGUUAGCUCUGAUAAGUGAAUGUGUGAUAAAGAACUUAUGGAAAAAAGUCAUAUUUUUAGGGAAAAAGCCUGGGAAAUAUAUGAACAUUCCGUUUUCUUCAUAAAAUAUGGCACAGCUCGAUAGUAAGUGAUACAUUUAGUUUAUUCAUUGUAGGAUUUCUACUAAUUUAAUUGUGAAAAUUUUGGAAGUAUUUGUUUCAUUUGCUUAAACUGCAGCAAUGUGCUGUGCAUUGCUCUAAGACUGUUGCACUUAAGGGAUUUCCCAUGCAAGUUUCUUUUCAGUUUCUUCCCAGGUGAGAUGCAGCAGGGCUCCUCCCAGCUGAACUGCUGCUGCCUUCAGGAUGGCAGCCAACGUGCCGAGCUGGGCAGCAGGUCCCGUUCCUAAGCCUUCUACAACUGCUCCGUUAGUGAGAUCCAGGUGUUGCUGGAUGAACCCUUUGCACCUGUGCUCCCUCAUCGGGCUGUUAUGAGGCUCAGCUGGGCGAGGAGGGGCUGCGCUCAGCCCGCAGUUGAGCUGUGCCGUGGGCAGGGGCUGCUGUGUGGGCCUGGGCCGGUCCUGCCCUAACUGGAAUGUUGCUAACUGAGAAGCAGCUCUGGCAUGAAAUACUGCAGGCAGAAACGUGAGCUGGGGCUUUUAAACGCUUGAGUACCUGAGGGGACCGCUCUGCAGUGCCACGAGGUGCAGAGCUGCGGGUCAGACGUUGGGCCUCCUUGUCCCGCCCUGCCGGCGAUGUGUGCUCUGCAGUGUGAACUUUCACUCAGAAACCAGCACUAGGAGUAAGAAGUGGGCGUUUACAUCAUUGUUCUUAAGGCAUCUAUCAGUGUCUACAGCAAGAUCCCAUCUGAUAAAGGAGUUUAUUCCAUGAACAGAAAGGGAGACAAUAGCCUGAUCUUCCCCCUCUUCGUGUACCAGCAAGACUUCAGGAUGGCAGUCUUUGAUGAGAUUCUGAAACAUCAAAUCAGGAAAUGAUGGGAAUAAGCUGAUUUCUUCCUGAGCUAACACUGAGAGCAGCAUUGCAUGUCUGAUGGAGAACAGCAAACAAGUGAGAGAGCUUGUUUUCUGGAGAACGUUCACUUCACCGUCCUGAGCAUGAGUGGCUUCUACUGGCAGUGCUGCUGAAGAGCUGCGCAUCAGUAAUUCUUUGACAUGCAGAAUUACAGCUUUCCAGCGCCAGCUCAAACACCGAGGAAUCCCUGCCACCAUAAAGCUAUAAUUGCUGAAUUAAUAACAGCGGGUUCUGGAGAGUGACUGCACAGACUCUCUGACCCAGGUAAUAGAAACACUCAUGUUAAAGUGAAGUUGAUACAUUUGACUUAAUCUAUGUAAUAUCAGUCUCUAGUAGUAAAGAUCACUGCUUUUCCAUCCCGUAAGAAAGCUGUGGUGAGGUGGUACCCUUCUGCUUUAGCUUGAGCUACCUGCAUCUGUUAGCCCCUGUGAACUAGAAAUUACAUUUUCAGGGAUCAGUCAGAUUGCAUUUCUUUCUACCAGGGGAUUUGUUACCCCAGUCUGUCUGCCUAGAACUGCUGGGAGGUGAGUUCCCAUCCAGCUGCAGAGGGGUGGGGAACAGGAUGUCGAGGGAGAUGGUGAAAGGCUUCUGCUAACACCUCAUUGCUCCAGAAUGUAUUAACAACUAAAAAAAACAAUCCCUCCCCCUCUCUUCUAACUCAGGAAGAAAUUCUGCAGUUGCUGCUUUGCCAAAUUCUGUGCCUUGUGGCCCCCACAGAUAUGAUGCUCCUCAAAACUGGGAUAAAAGGAUGCUGUUUAAACAGGAUAAUAGGAAUUUAACCAAAAUGACUUGAUCUGAAUGAGGAAUCAUUUUUCUUUAUUUUUAUAGUUUAUUUUUAAAUAAGAAUGUCCCUAGGUAUUAGAAGGGCCUGGUAAUCCAUUUACCAUGACUUCCUUAGGUUUGGUCCUUGAAUGGGACCUGUGCUACUCUACGUUUAUCUGAGUAGGAUUUGUGAUUCUUGGUAACCUUUGUAGGCUGACUCAAGUCAUUAGGGACAAAUUGCCCAUGUCAACGGAUCUGAUUGUAUCAUGGAAUUGAUGUAGUGCACAGCUACUCAUGUUGCAAAGUGCAGCUGCAGCAAAAGCCAAAGCGUGUGACCACUGAGAUGUUGGACUUCUCUAAGCUCAGGGCAAUGUCCUGUGCUGGGGCUCUUAGCAGCAGCCUCCCCAAGGUUGUGUAUACAUUGUGGAUAAAAAGAAUUGGCAGUUUUUAGGGCUGGCAAUCUGGUUCUUUUUCUAAGAGUUAUCAUCAUUAAUUAAAAUCUCUCUCUUUUUUUUUCAUCUGUCUAAGUAUUUCAGCUCUAAUUCUCUUGCAGGUUCAUAAAUAGUAACAUCCCUUUGUCCUGGGAAAAGUUCUUAUCUUUUGUUUCUCUUUGUCAUUCCCCUCAAUCUCUGUCCUCUUGAGGCUGAAGGUAAGUAAAAUUCCUGCUAUGAUGUUGUGGUUGUGGGCCUGUUCCUUUGUUCCUUCGGUCGCCCCGUCACCCCAUCCCUGCUUUGGUAUCCACAGUCCUACCUGGAACAGCAUAACGAUGACCCACAUGGUUCUGUUUCACUUGGCAUCUGCUCUUCCCCUCUGUGCAUAGUUUCCCUUUGGACUUCCUUAGCAGAUCCUCUGCAGCAAGCAGGUGUUUCUCCACUUUUCCAGUCUGUGAACUUGAAGUUAAAUUCAAAAAUAAUUCAUCAUUUUAUAAAUAAGUUAUAUAAGCUGUCACCACAAAUCUGUCACUGCACAGACAGGUGCCAACAUGCACCGUAUGCAAGACGGUAACAACACCAGGAUUGGAAUAAAGGAUGUCCAAAAGCAAUUACAUUUCCAGAUAUUAGGCAAACACAAUUAUUUAAACUGCUAGUCAAAACCAGUUGAUAAAAUAGAUAAUUAAAAAAGAUUGACCCAAAAGCUGAUGUUAAAUUAUUCUGUAAUGUGCACAUAACUCAAAUAAUUGCUCUCUCAUAACCCAGCCUCUAUUAAAGGGAAAUUUUACCUAGGAAAAAAAUUACAUAUUCAGUACACGGUGAUUAAAAUAAAUAUACAUUCUCUCAAAUGCUGGAGAUGAUGUGAGAAACUGUAUUAAAAAGUGGGAAUGAAUUAGGCCUGCAUUGCAAACAGUAGUGUGGUCUGUCAUUGUAAUAAAUCAUACUCAAUAGGCAUUGAAACAGGAAGUAUGACACUGCAGUAAAUCCAAAUCAGCCUCAGACCACAGUAGUGGUAGGUGACCUGUUGUGUGUGGGUAUAGAACUAAGCGGGACAGGAUGGAGUCCUGAGGAAGGAGCUAUUUUAGUAGUUCAAUUUAGACAUUAAAGUCUUGGGAUAGGACAUCAAAACCCCUAAUCUGGAGUUUGAAUCCAAUAUUUAAUACAGUUUACACCCACUUCAGCUAUGCAUGAGUUUCCACCUAAAACAAUAUCCAAGCUCUUUUUGACACCUAAUGAAGGGACAGAUCGAUUGUUCUUCAGACCUCAUUUUUUGUGCUGCUUACCUGGUGGUGGUGCAGGACUGACUUCAGUACUUGCACUGUCAAAAGCAGGAUCAGCCCGAUGUGCUUUAGCUGGGGGGGACACACAGGGAUGCUCUCCUUAGUGCAUCUGUCUGUAUGAAGCUGUCCUGUGCUCUCAUCUUUGAAACAGCACAGACUUGAGAAACAUGAAAACUUCAUCUAUGAGCGCACAGCAUUACUCCAUAAAUGGUAUGGGAACUGAUUAACCCAUCAAUCUCUAUUAUUCAACUACUGCAAAUGAGACACGUGCUCCCUUGGGGAUUUACCUGGAGUAAAAUCAAAAAGAAAAUGCUUUCUCCCUUCCCAGCUUGAAAGUUCAAAAUUUGUUUGGACCGGUGAUGCUGCAAAUAAAUAAAAGAAAGAAUGACCUGAAUUACUUGAGCAAUCCCCUGGGACUGAGGCAGGAAGCGUUUGAAACAUGAAAAGUUGCACCCGUGUUCAAACAAGAGAGGCCCUAGUUAAUUAUUUACAGCAGCUGAAAGCUCAUCAAAAAUUUAACCAAGAUUUAUUUCUCUGUGACUCUGCAGGCACCACAAUGUGCAGCAGUGGAGGCUUCAGCUGCCUUCAGUGAAGCUCCUGAGUUUUCACCUCCCGGCUUGUCGGUGCUGGCUCAGUGCUUGCAGUGAAUCCUUUCCUCCUAUCUGUCAGCGAUGCACGCUAGUAGGGUGGAUUCCAAUUGCAUGCAAAUAAAUAGCAUGCAGCAUCUGAACUGCUGCUGGGAGGCUCUGUGGUGGCCCUCAACAGCCUUCAGCUGUGGCAAGGCUGUGACCCGUCACUGUCAGUAGAUGAUAUCAAAUACAAACCUACCUGCGGCUUAGCUCUGCUCCUCUCCCAUCUACAGGUAAUGGGCCCUUCCAUUUUGUGCACACUGACUGAGUGAAGGCUGGGCCACUGCCCCUUUGCUUUGAAGUCCACUGCAUUUGUGAUUUUUCUUUGAUCAUCGCUGUGGAAAAGCCUGAAAUGUUUUUCUCAGCAGUUUGUAUGCACACAAGCAUGAGAGCUGAGAACCUCAGUCAAGGUGAAACUUCUGAACUUAUCUCGAUUUUGUUAACAUUAAAUUAAUAUUAAGUAGGACCAAGUUAUGUUUUGCCUUGAGACUGAGGAGGGAACAAUACUGUUCUACUACUAUCCAUGUAUCAAAUGAUAGCAAAAGGGAUUCACCAGCGAGAGGAACAGGACCUAUAAAUGACAGUGAGUACCUUAGAAUUCCUGAAGCUUGAGCUUCUUCCAUGAUGGCACUUCAUGACCAAUAUCUCAUAAGGUCCCUGAAAAAGAAAAGAAAAAAAAAAAAAAUCAGGUAUUUUCUCACCAUCUCGCUAGAGGUAUCUAGAGAAAGGAACUGUACAAGGCUUUCAUUAGCAGCUGAAGUAUUACUGUAUAUUUGGAUCCAUUUGCUCAGUUCGUGAUAUAAUGGAGCACAACUGAUGUAAGUUGGCUCGAUGCGACCCCUUGUUACACAUACUGGAACAGUAUCUGCAGAAGUAUUUGAAAUUACACAUUUUUUCAGACAUCUAUUUUAAGGAUCAGUGACUUCAAACAAGCAGUGCAUUUGGGCAUAUUUUAAAGGCUUAUUUCCUGCAAUCAUGUGCAGGUCAUGGCUUAAUCCUCAUCAGAAAGAAGGCAUUUGGGAUUCUGAUUACUGCAGGGAGCAGUGAAAGAAGGAUACGCAUAGAAAGAACAGCAGCAGAGUUUUGAGACAGAGCCUGGGCUCUGACCAGUAAACCUUUGAUGAGAACUUCUGAGGGAGGUGUUUUUUUUCCUUUAUAUUUUCUUUAACAUUUGAACGCAGCAACAGAAGAGGUGGGACAAAACGGAGUCUGAAGUGUUGGUUAGGUGAUGUUCUGGCACUGCAGUGAUGUGGGCACAGACCUGGAAAGAGCCAGCUGUCCUGGCAGGGAGCAGGCAGCCAACGGGAGGAGCAGCUGAAUCUAUUUCUUACUGUCACAGUACUUUGAAAAGUACUUUUCACACUGCUUUUAGAAACUAAAGUUUGUAAUGGCCAGGCAAGACUCUGAGUUAUUAGAAGAGAGAAGGAGCAGGGCAGCUUUGCUUGGCCAGACGCAUAGCUGCUCUCAAGUGAGGGCUGGAGAAAGGCAGAGGGAAGUGUGACAGCUUUCCACAACAGAUAAGAGCUGGAUUCCAGCCCACUUCAAGCUAGGUAAGCAAAUAAUUACUUGUGAAUAAAUUAGGAAGAAAAAUGCUAAAUAUCCUUAUUAAUAGAGACCAUAUGCUUUUGGCAACUUCUUACCAGAAGGCUCUUAAAAGUAUGCAGUGACAUCCUAGAGUUCCCAGUCACGUUUCCUACACGCUGCUGACACACUCGCCUCAGAGAGGACAGAAUACUGAUUUUGUGUGUAUUUUAAAACCCUACAGCCUUACCAUCUGUGACUGCAUGGGCAGAGCCUGUUUCUUCACCUCAAGCAUCCAAAAAAUCAAACUGUAACUGUCUUCCCCUCCCACAGGUUUGUCUGAUGUCCCGAGCACUGCCCUGGUGUUCCAGCGGCACCAACAGAGGCUGACUGAUGGGCUCCAGUUCAGACAUACGAAGGGUGGCAAGCAGAGGCAGCGUUCUGAGACCGCAAGUCCCUCAGAACUGGAUGUCCUCAUCCCCAGGGCUGUCAGCCACACCGUGUCCUGUCCCUGCUGGCUGCACAGCAACGGUGGUGACACAGCUGCAUGGCUGCGGAGAUGGAAGCCCAACGUGUGUCAUCUCUGAGGCUGCUCGAGUUCCUCUUCAGCGCUUUGCGGGGGAAGACCAGAGAAAUAAUAAGGCUUUGUAUGAGUGAUAAGACUGUAUCAUGAUGGCUGUUCGCUUCCUAACGGAUGGGACAGAGAUGCAGGUAGGGUGGAGGGGCCACAAAGGCAACCGAUGGAGAAGUUUCUUUGGAGUCUGCUGUUCUUUUUUGCUUCAUUUAUAUUUCAUUAGGCAUGAAAUUAUGUUUAUAAUUGUAUUAGACAACUGUGUGAGAUAUUAGAUCAUAAGCCUAGACUGAAUUAAAGCCAUUUUUAAUUAGUUAUUGAUUUAUUCUGUUUUGUCAUUUUUAAUGAAAUGAUGCCCCUGAAUUCAAAGCGCUGGUGCAGGUGUGUUAUCUUAAUUCAUAGAACUAGCACUCUGCUUACCUCCCAACCAACCAAGAGAAUGGAAGUUGCUGUUCUUCAACACGGUUGUUGUAUCAGCCACUGAUGUGCGUCUGCACAAGGGGGGUGAAGGAGAGAGACACCGCGCUCCAGAACAGACAAGAGGAGGGAGCCCUGGGCUGCAGACACACUGCUGGGAGGAAACAGGGCUGAGCAAAACCCAGGGUAAGCUUUCAAAAAGAAAAAAAAAAGAAAAAGAACAAGAAAGGGAAAGCAGGGGACAACAUGCAGCUGUGGGAGCUGCGAGACGCAGCGCUGCUGCUGGGACCGAGCAGAAGUCCAUUGCCCCGGGGAUGCUGCGCUGCAGCACCAAAAGCAGCGGCCACCGCACACUGCUGGGAUGCGGCUCAGCCCCAACAGCUGCAAGGACAGGGAGCAGCACUGCAGCUCAGCGAAGCUGUGCUUUGUCUAUGCAUAGAAAUCAGAGCUAAGAGGUUUGGGGUUCUUUGUGGCUUUUUUCUGUUGUUGUUACCUGAAAUCCAUCAGGACCUCAGCUCCCUGUUAUACUUUUCUGCUCCAUCCUGUGAUGUUAAUACAUACACAGGGAUUCACUUGCACUUCAAAAGGACAUCUUCCCAUGGUGUAAGAGCCGCAGGAUGUUUCUCGAGAUGUUGCAGACCUCGAUGGCUUUCACUUAGGAAAAAAAAAUAGAGGCUGUAUUCUGUAAGGCACUGCUGAGGCACGUGAGCACUUCCUCAGCUCACCUUCAAAAUACUUGCUUUUUUUUAAUCACUUUCUGGCUCUCACACUCACUCUGCUAACAACUACAGAUCUCCAGCACUUUGAAACAAAGCUUUUCACCUUUCGGUACCUUCUCAGUCUGUGUGCUAACAUGCUCCUUGCUGGCAUUCAGCUCAGUCUCCCACCCCAACAAAGAAAUAUUUGGAAACACGUUCCUUUUCACAUCCGAGCUCCCCAAAUGCCCAACAACUGACUCUUAUCCUUUCUCUUUUUUUUUGGCUUCUCCUUUCCUACUUCCUUUCCCCCCCAUAUGCAGCCGCCCACAUGGUUUCACUCACUGAAACAGCCCAUGGUGAAAUCAGACAAACACUUUGACUUUGCCCCCGGCCCCACUGGUAGCCGUACCUCUGAAGCUGCCAUUCACCUCUAAUUACACGUCUGCUGAAAUCGUGCAGAGAAGGAACAGUGUAAGUCAUUAGUCCUCCUAAAUGAAUGUGCAGCUGAGUAGCUAACAAAGGGAUUAACACUUGACAGCAGAAGCGUUGCAAGCUGAAGGGGAGGGUCAUCGGGUGACUGCUUAUUACACAGAAAUAAUUGCCAUCCAAUGCUGAGAGAAACCAAUGGCUGCAGGCUGUGUUUACUGCAAAGAAGUGCAUUUUUUCCCCUGUCUUUUCUUAUCCCUUCUGCUUAAUCUUCCUUUGCACAAAGCAGGGAGGAGACCCAUUGCUGGGCAGUGCAGGGCUGGAUUCCAUCCCACGCAGGAUGCCCAGGUGGGCAAGGUUUGGGUCUGGCUUUUUUUUUUUUUUUUUUCUUCCUUCCUUCAAAGGACACAAGGUGGAAAAAAAAAAAACCUUUUUAGUAUUUUUAGGAAAGAAAGCUGCAAUUUCAGAGCAAGUUGGCUCAACUGUAAAACUUACCUGGGCUACAUAUAGAUGUACUUAGACACUCCCAGCCCAAUUGAAAGGCAGUGCAUUUUAGUACAAGCGUUUUACGCUACCAAAUGAUAGCUGAGAUGUAAAUGCCACAGAGAUGCAUGAAAAGCACAGCAGCACUGGGGUGGUAUGGUACAAUGUGAAAAGGAUGUUUACAUCCAAACAUGACACGCACAGUUGAGCAUGAAUUCACAUUAGCUCAGCUUGCGCUUCAAACAUCUAUUUAUUAACACUGGGUGGAAACAACUAUUUUUCAGUAGCAGAGUUCAAGUAUCACAAAGGGUUUUUAAUGACUUCUAUAAAGCUUAGCACAGCUAUUAUUCCAAAGGCUUACCAUCUGAGCAGAGGUGAUGCUUAGGCUUUUCUAUGAUUUACCUCUUCUCUGGCAUUCUUUCUUUCUGGGUCUUCAGUGACAUGUCAGUUUUCCCUUGACGUGCCCUGCAGAGAGUUGCAAUGAGUGAAGCUGAAAACACAAACCCAUGUUCUUCCUCCUGACGUGUCACUAUUUCACUACUGUGCUGCAGCCCAAUGAGCCCAUGCACGACUGCAGCAUCCUGGGCGCACACAGCCAUGCACCGAGAGCUCCUUCCACCCAGCACAGAGGGACUCGUGCAUGCCACAGCUGCUCAUGGGCAGAGGCUGGAAGGAAGGCCACAGAAGAUGCGAAUAUGGGAAUAAAAGGAAAUCUAUGCAUGAGCCGAUGCGCAUCCCACAGAGCGUUUUCCAUUCAUUGUGGGGUACUGCUUCCUCUUGUCUGAUUAAGUGACAUCCGGUUAGUGUAUCUGCCUGACUAUUUAGUUCUCUGCAUCACUCUGAGCACUGUAAUCUCUCUAAUUGGUGUAAAGAAUUUUUUCCCAAUAAGGCUAGAACAAAGCAGCUUCUCUGUCUAUGCUCCUUCAUGGUUGAUUUUGCUAUCAGCUUCAGAAAUCAUGCAGAAGGAGUUUGACUUUUUCCAUUCAUUCAGGAAUUACUACGUUUGCAGCCAUAGAAACAGUACUUAGGUCUGGAUACAAAGGAAAUAUAACGCCCCGAUUAAUUUUCUGCAUCACUGAAAUGGAGCUUCUGUCAAAUGGGGGAGGCAGACGUUGCUGAUGCUGAGGAGCCAUCCCAGAACCAAGCCUGCAGAGCUGCUUGGGAACAAAAGUUUCUGAUGAAAGAUCAGCCACCGUGCCCAAGCAGUGCUGAGAAUACCAACAAAGCUGUCACGAGACAAUACCUUGAUGGAACAUGGG